rnacentral:rRNA from 1 species
GAUGAACGCUGGCGGCGUGCCUAAUACAUGCAAGUCGAGCGAAUGGAUUAAGAGCUUGCUCUUAUGAAGUUAGCGGCGGACGGGUGAGUAACACGAGGGUAACCUGCCCAUAAGACUGGGAUAACUCCGGGAAACCGGGGCUAAUACCGGAUAACAUUUUGAACCGCAUGGUUCGAAAUUGAAAGGCGGCUUCGGCUGUCACUUAUGGAUGUACCCGCGUCGCAUUAGCUAGUUGGUGAGGUAACGGCUCACCAAGGCAACGAUGCGUAGCCGACCUGAGAGGGUGAUCGGCCACACUGGGACUGAGACACGGCCCAGACUCCUACGGGAGGCAGCAGUAGGGAAUCUUCCGCAAUGGACGAAAGUCUGACGGAGCAACGCCGCGUGAGUGAUGAAGGCUUUCGGGUCGUAAAACUCUGUUGUUAGGGAAGAACAAGUGCUAGUUGAAUAAGCUGGCACCUUGACGGUACCUAACCAGAAAGCCACGGCUAACUACGUGCCAGCAGCCGCGGUAA